rnacentral:tmRNA from 1 species
GGGGGCGUAAAGGUUUCGACGGGGGUUUUGAAGUCUUGUAAGCGGGUAGAGCGGGCGAAAGCUCUUUAAUCGUCGCACCUAAAAUUAAACGCUAAAUCUAAUACUAGAACCUUAGCUUACGCAGCUUAAUUAAGCUGUGGCCUGCACGGACAGGUGCCACGGGGUCCGUCAGGUUCUAAUCAGUGGCCAACGUCAGCCCGGAUUGUCCCGGCCGGUCUGACGUAUUAGGGACUACCGGGGCGUAUAGCCUGUUGACCGGCGAUGCGCCCCGGGAACUUCAAUAGAUCAACUGCACCCGGAGAAAACCCGAUGGAUUGACUUUCGGACAGGGGUUCGAUUCCCCUCGCCUCCACCA